AUGCAUGGAUGUUGGUUUGUAACAAGUCUGAUCAGUAUACAUGGUCAGGUGAACUUUUUGAAGUCUCCUAAGAAAAGGAAAGGUAGGUAUAGGAUAAAUCUAUGUAUUAAGAUACAAAUAAUUUUUAAAAAUAUGAGCAAUUUUUCAAAUUCUAACAUGCUAUUGCUUUGUGACAGUUUUUUACUUCUGCGCUUAGUUUUGCAAUCCUUAAAAUGGAGUGAACAUUAUUGUUUUUAUAAAGUUGCUUUGCAGGUUGAAUAAAGCAAUGCUUUGUAAACUGCUUAGAGUGACUGGCAAUCAGCACUUAGCUGCAGUCUUUUUUUAAUAUAUUUCAUAAAGAUAAUUUAGACUCUAAGAAGAUUAUAGAGGAUUUUCUCAUGAGUAAUUGAGAUAUAAAACUCAUAAAAUAUUUCCAAGAAUAAUGAAAGUUUUGAUCAGAAACAGAAUAUUACCGAUUGGGCUGUGUGAUAAUUAUUACAUUUCAUUCCUAAAAUGAUAUGUUAAGGAAAAUACAGUAAAUACUAUGCUGACAUUGAGCCAAUUGGGCAAGUAGAAAUUAUAGUCAUUGUAUUUGAAACUUAUGGAAAAGAGCAAAACUUCUGGAUCAUAUGCAGAAAGUGGCAUAUUCUGGUAAUACAUAGCUAACACUCCUUGUUUGCACCGCACACACACAGACACAGGCUUAUUGCCAAGAAGAGAGAAUAAUGAAACUCAAGAAGUCACAGAUGUACAACCACCAUAAGAAUCCUGCUGGGCUGGAAACACAUGAGGCAUCACCUUCUGGCUCCUGGAGCUUCAAAGGAGGAUGUUUUUCAUCUUGGAACAGGGACCAAUCAUUUACUACUCUGGCCCUGCAGGGUCUCCCUGUCAAUGUCACUGUCUGUUAAUUUCCUUGUGUGUCCCAUAUUGUUUGUUUUUCUAUCCCUCACCCACUCUCUUCAUUUUUUACUUUACUUUUUUUUUUUUUUUUUUUGACAGGAAGAGUUAGACAGUGAGAGAGAGAGAGACAGAGAGAAAGAUCUUCCUUCCGUUGGUUCACCCCGCAAAGGGUCACUACGGCCAGAGCGCUGCACCGAUCCAAAGCCAGGAGCCAGGUGCUUCCACCUGGUCUCCAAUGCGGGUAUAGGGCCCAAGCACUUGGGCCAUCCUCCACUGCCUUCCUGGGCCACAGCAGAGAGCUGGACUGGAAGAGGAGCAACUGGGACAGAAUCCGGCGCCCCGACCGGGACUAGAACCUGGUGUGCCGGUGCCGCAGGCAGAGGAUUAGCCUAGUGAGCCAUGGUGCCGGUCUCUUCAUUUUUUUCAGACAAAUGCUUUUUGUUCUUUUUAUUAUUGGAGGGGUAUUUUUUUUUUAAAUGACAGAGACUAAGUUAUAGGAGGCAAUGAGUUCAACUCAAUGAAGAUUCCUAAAUGCCUAUGUUAAGGCAUAGACAAGUUGAUGAUUAAGGAAUACUACUUCCCUAAAGACCACUCCUGGGCCUUCACACUGAGAGCGCCUGAAAAAUGAAUAGGCUGAUCUAGGAUGAGCUGUGUGGCUGGACCAAAUUGGUGGGACAGCCAACAUGGUCUUGAAAAGUAUGCCAUAGAAUGAAGAAAAAGGACACAACCAGUGGUAAAAAUAUUUCCUCAGUUGGAAGUCUACUAGAAUUUACUCAUCAAUUAUAUUGCAUUUUAUAACUUGCAACAAACAAGACUCCAAAUGCUAUCAAUCAGGAUUGCAUUGGAAAGGAAGAAUGCUAUCAGUCAAGGGCUAAAUCUGGCAACUGAAAAUUUUCUGAAGAUGUCUGUAGGGAUAUAGUUUUGGACUAAUAAACAAAUGUCUUUAUUCUCUCUUUUUUAAAAA
ensembl:lncRNA